UGUGAGGGGCAGUGAAGUAUAUAAUAUUUUCCCAAAAAGACUAAGAAGAUAAACCUUCCAAAUAUCACCAUAGCCCCACGUGUAAACUUGUUACUGUUCAUAUACACACACACACAAGGAACCUUGUAUAUCGAUAGCCGGCGGCGGAUGUUGGUGGUGGGUGACGGACUGAUGGUUGUGAAGAGUUGCUCAAUUCCCAGCAGUCAAUCCACAAUACAGGCUCUUUCCCUUCAUUGUUUAAUUUAUAUGUAUAUCUGUAUCUUUAUAUAUGUAUAGACAACCCCUAUAUAUACACAGUUUCAUAAAAAGUUUUUUAAUUUUAUGUAUUAACUCAGUAGUAGUAGGAGUAGAGAAGUGUUGAUGGAGAUAUUAAAAUCUAAUAAAUUGCCUCCUCCUCUUCCCAAUUCCAUAAAGAGCCCCUUGGUGGUGUUGCUGUAUGGAAGCCCACAAUCAAUCUUGUUCAUUUCUCCUUUUCCUCCAAGGAGUUUCAGAGUUUCUGCCCUUAAAAAAUUGCCCCCCUUUUUCAACAACACCACCCCCACAAAAAGGACAAAUCAUCUGAGGAAAAAGCUCCUUGUCUUUGAACAGCAACCACCUGUUUUUUAUCCUCCUCCUCCUCGUAUCAUUGUUGACAAUGAUGUUGCUUUGAAACCACCACCUCCCAACCACACUAGUGCUAGUACUCAUAAAAGUCUUGUUUUAUCAUGGAGUCAACUGCAGACCUGGGCACUUACUAACCGAAACCCUUUUCCCAAACAAAUUUAUGUACUUUUUGUUUUUCUUGUGAUUUUCUCUUUCAAGACCGUUUUUACAUUCGAUAAGCAACAACAACAACAACACCAGCAGCAUUCUUCUUCUUCUAGUCUGGACAACCAAAUGUUGUCAAGAAAAAUUAAAGCUCGCAAGGCGAAACAGGUAGUCGUAGUCCAACAACAUUCUAACCUCCCCCCCAAUAUGGAUAUGGUUAAGCCCCAACUGGACAAACAACACCUUAUGAAUACCAUUGUCACUGCAAACUCAUUCAAUCAUAAUUCUUCUACGGAUUUUGACAACAAAAUUCAACAUAUUAGAAUAAUGGCUAGACACGCACGAGAUGUUGAAAAAUUACAUGCUAAUGGGGAAGAUAGCCAAACCAAACCUAUGGAAAAGGAAUUCAACCGUCUUCAACCCACAUCUGUACAAGCAGCUCAUGUCCCAAUCCUUUUAAAUAGUCAAGAUUCCGAUGAUGUUUCAAGGCCCGAUGUCCCAAACAUUGCGCAAAAUGUUGCACAAGGUUUGGAAGACAAAGCGUCAAUCUUAAUAGGUUCUGAGAAAAAAUCAAGGAUUAUUAGCUCUGUUCAGGAAGCAAGAGAAUAUCUUAUCAAGAAAAAACUUGACAACAAAGAGAAAACCCAAGAACCCCAAAUUACAAACUUUCAUCAAACGGCUAGUAAUGAUGAUAUGUUUGACUUUUCUGUCAAUAAGUCUUCAAAAAAUACCAAUAUGGGGAUGAAUGGAAAUGUUUUGAUCAACAACACUAAUGCUAAACAUGAUAAAGAAAUGCCAUCUGAAGGUAGUACUUCAAAAGCUGGGGAAUUAGGAAGAUCAAAUCGUGAAAAGUGGAUGGAGGAUAACUUUCAUGAGUUUGAGCCAAUAGUUGAAAAGAUUAGAGGUGGAUUUAGAGACAAUUACAUGUUAGCUAAAGAGAAAGUGGAAUCAGAUGUAAAGAUGGUCUCGGAGCUGAAGAUGCUUGAACGUGAUAACAUUGAAAGCGAAUUUGAAUGGAUGAAAGAUGAGAAGCUUAGAGAAAUUGUGUUCCAAGUACGAGAGAAUGAGCUGAUGGGUAGAGAACCCUUCUAUCUUAUGGAUGCAGAAGAUAAGGCCUUGUUUUUCAAAGGUCUCGAGAAGAAAGUUGAGAAAGAAAAUGAGAAACUACAUGAACUUCAUGAAUAUGUUCAUUCAAAUAUCGAAAACCUUGAUUACGGAGCAGAUGGGAUUAGCUUGUAUGAUCCUCCGGAGAAGAUCAUACCUCGAUGGAAGGGGCCCCCACCAGCUACAGCAAUGAGCCAACAGUCAUUUGAUGAUUAUUUAGAUCAAAGGAAAACACUAUUUGCUGAAACCUUGGGGCUUUCAGAUCUUGUAAAGAGGGAUCCACAAGACUUGCUUCAAAAUACCAAUGAAAAAGCUGAAAGUAAGAAUUUGAAUAGUUCAAAAACCGUGAUAGAAGGGAGUGAUGGGUCUAUUAAAGCUGGAAAGAAAUCGGGGAAAGAGUUUUGGCUGCAUACAAAGAAAUGGUCUCGUGGAUUUAUAGAUUCUUAUAAUGCUGAGAGUGAUCCAGAAACCAAAGCUGUUAUGAAGGAUAUUGGAAAGGACUUGGAAAGAUGGAUUACCGAGAAAGAAAUACAAGAUGCUGCUGCUAUAAUGAAUAAGGUUCCUGAUAAAGGGAAAAUAUUCAUCACGGAGAAAAUAAAUAGGUUGAAGAAGGAAAUGGAAUUAUUUGGACCCCAAGCUGUUGUGAGCAAGUAUAGUGAGUACGAUGACGAGGAGGAAAUAGAUUAUUAUUGGUGGCUCGACCUUCCAUUUUUACUGUGUAUUGAAUUAUAUAUUACUGGAGAUGGAGAUCAAGAUGGAGAGGAGAGAAUAGGGUUCUAUUCAUUGGAGAUGGCAUCGGACCUUGAACUUGAUCCAAAACCACAUCAUAUUAUUGCUUUUGAGGAUGCUGGUGACUGCAAGAAUCUUUGCUAUAUUAUUCAGUCCCACCUAGAAAUGCUUGGAAAUGGCAAUGCCUUUGUAGUACCACAAGCUCCAAAGGAUACCUACAGGGAAGCAAAGGCUAGUGGUUUUAAUGUUACAGUUAUUAGAAAAGGGGAACUGAAACUGGAUGUGGAUCAAACACUAGAAGAGGCUGAAGAAAACAUUGUUGAGAUAGGGAGCCAGAUGUACCACGAUAAAAUUAUGAAAGGCCGCAAUGUGGAUGUGGAUUCCUUAAUGAAAGGUGUUUUUGGACUGACGAAACCCAACAAGAGAUGAAAACAGGUCGUUUGAUUUGGCCUUUUAAGAACACAAGGAUUGAAGUAGCACCAAUGCGUAGGCUGCUUAAUAGGAACCAUGAUUCCGCUUAGAUUCAAGAUUCUGCAUCUUUAGUACGAUCGGGGGUGAGAAGGCUGCUCAAACAUAAACGACAAGGUUAACAUCGUCAACAUAACCAUCAAUACCUUAACGAUAUUGGGUAGUUACUUUGGAGGUUUUAAGUAGGAAAAAUAUUGGUUGCUUCCUGACUUGCAUUAGGGCUGAUGGUGCUGUCCAUGUUUUCGAGCCUACGGAAUCUGAAGGCAAAUGGGGGGUCCCACCACCGGCUGAUAACGGUUAACCAAGUAAUGUAGCAGCUAGUUCAGUAGGAGGCCUUGGUGCAGAACAAACUCAAAGAUAACAGCGUUAUUUUAUCGCAGCAGUUUUGGCGUCUCAAGGAAAAUGUAGUCUAGUUGGUGAUGUGUAGAUCUAACUUGUUCCGUAUGUGUAAAGCACUAGUUUCAGAUAUUUGGAUUCUAAUGUUGCAUGGUUCAGAUAUUCCGAUUUUUGUUCUGUUGUUUAGUCACAGUAUAGGGAUGUUUUGAAGCAUGUUUGACCUUUCAGCCUCUGAAAUACAUAAUGUUUUACCA